rfam:Triticum aestivum genome assembly, contig: Triticum_aestivum_CS42_TGACv1_scaffold_407178_5BL
AGGAUACUUCCUCCGUCCGUAAAUACUUGUCAUUGAAAUGGAUGUAUCUAGAUGUAUUUUAGUUCUAGAUACAUCCAUGUUCAUCCAUUUUGAUGACAAGUAUUUCCGGACGGAGGGAGUACUAG